rnacentral:lncRNA from 9 species
GCUGUUGAAUGCGCCGGCGGCAGGACCGGGUCCCCGCCGGGUGAGCAGGGCCGGGGGCCGGGGCGUGCCCGGGGCUCAGCCGUCCGCGGGGCCGCGGCUGCAGCGGCGGAGCCAGGCGCGGCCCCCGCCCGGCGGGCGUGUGUCUGCGAGCGUGCGUGUGUCCGCGGCAGCAUCGAGCCGGGAGAGGGGGCGGGAGGGGUCUCGCUGCGGCGAGGCCUGCGGAGGGCGCGGGCGCGGGCGGCGAGGGCGGCGGACAGACCGCGGCCGCGGCCCCUGACGCACGCUGCGCUCCGGCCCCCUCCCGGGCGCGGGCCCCGGCGAGGCAGAGGCGCGGCGGCGGGCGGCGGGGUCUGCGCGCACCCGCCGGCUCACAGACACACACCGGCCACGCCACAGACACACGCCACGCACCGAGCCACGGCCGGCGCGCCAAGCCCGCCGGGCGCCGCGCGCAUCGCUCCGCGCUCACACUCGCACUCACCCUCGCGCGCAGGCCCCGCAGUCGCCGCGGCCGGAGGCGGCGCUCGGCCCGGAGCCCGGCUGGGGCUGGAGAAGGAGAGGACUUGGGUGAGGAGCUGCUGCCGCCUGAGCUGGGCCAAGACCUGAGACCCUUUGGCUGCUGCUGUUGCUGUCGUCGUCGUUGUCGCCGCCGCCCCCGCCGCUGCCACCGUGGGGACCUCCCUGAGACCAGGCCAGGGACAGAGCUUCGCCGGCCAGAGGGGCUCCCUCUGCCCGCAGUCGUCCGGAACCAGGUGACAGAUGGGUCUCUUCCUUCCUGCCCCCGUCUCUCGUGUGCUUCCCGCUCAGAGCUCCCGUCUCCAGCCUCCCGUGGGAAUCCUUUGAAGUUCUGAGCCCGGAAUCCCAGGAGGAAGAGGAGGAGGAGGAGGGAGAGGACGUCAAGCCCUGAGCGCCUGGGCACCUGCCCUCGAAGGAGAGGAGCACUUCCGGGAAGCAGGCUGUGGGGCCCCAGGCCCACCCCCCCGGCCCUGGCUGGGCCCCCGCACCAAGCGACUGCCCGUAGCGCCCCGGACGGCCCCCAGCGGUUGGCACUGGCCGUGCCUGCCUCACCUGGGGCCCCCGAGCCGGGGGUGGCCCCCAAGAUGGUGACGGCCCCAGGGAGGACUGUGCUGCUGGCCCCAGCCUCCGGCCGCUAGGCACCCCCCCACCCCCUGUGCCCCUCCACCCCGAGCCCGGCCUGCG